GAGAUAAAGCGCCCCCCCUCCUCGUCCCUGCAGCUCUGAAGCCAUAAAGAAGAGUGAGAGGGUGGAGGAGCCUCCGACAUGGCAGACAGACAGACAGGCAGACAGACAGCUCAAGGUCUCCGCUGCUGUCAGAGGAUUUGGUGGUUUCCCGUCUUUGGAUGAGUCUCCUGGUCCUUGUGUCUGGCGGUCUCCUCUCUCACCGAGGACGACAGCUCUGUUUGCACUGUGGGAUGAGGUAGUAGGUUGUAUAGUUUUAGGGUCACACCCGCACUGGGAGAUAACUAUUCAACCUACUGUCUUUCUCAAAGUGACAAACUAACUCCACAGAACAUAUUCUUGUGUUUGGAAGGCCUGUACUCUGACGUCUGUUUGAAUUGAUCAAGAUGGUUGUUACAGAGGCGGAUCCAUCACAUUUGCUCCCACAGUGUGAGGUAGUAGAUUGUAUAGUUGUAGGGUAGUGAUUUUACCCUGUUAGGAAGAUAACUAUACAAUCUAUUGCCUUCCCUGAGGAGUGACAUUUACUCCUUUUAUUCAACAGACAGUUUUUGUUUUAUUAACUGUAUUUUGUUAUAUAUUGACUAGUUAAAUUAUCUUUACUGAGAAGAACUUGUAAAAUAUUUCUUCAGCAUUUUAUUAUACAUAUAUUUUUUUUACUAAGUGCUGUCUCGUUUAACAGUUUUAAUCUGCUACAUCUUGAUAACUUAGUGAAAACUGUCCUUCCUUUAUUUUGUGGUGUAAAAGCAAACUUCUUUUUGCAUUUUGUUGAACUUUAUAAUUAAAAAACAGAUUAAAUAUGUCAAUUUAAAUAAUUAGUUACAUGA